ensembl:snRNA U6 U6 spliceosomal RNA
CUGCUCACUUUGGCAGCACAUAUACCAAAACUGGAACAAUACAGAGAUUAGCACAGCCCCUGCUCAAGGAUGACAUGCAAGUCUGUGAAGCGUUCCAUAAAAAA